rnacentral:rRNA from 1 species
UACGUAGGGGGCUAGCGUUGUCCGGAAUCAUUGGGCGUAAAGCGCGUGUAGGCGGUUCGGUAAGUCCGCUGUGAAAGUCGGGGGCUCAACCCUCGAAUGCCGGUGGAUACUGUCGGACUAGAGUACGGAAGAGGCGAGUGGAAUUCCUGGUGUAGCGGUGAAAUGCGUAGAUAUUGGGAGGAACACCAGUGGCGAAGGCGGCUCACUGGACCGGAACUGACGCUGAGGCGCGAAAGCGUGGGGAGCAAACAGG